rnacentral:lncRNA from 1 species
UUCCCUUCUCUCAAGCUUACGUUAAAAGGAUUAUUAUGUCCCUAAUUUGAUCAGGCCAGGCUGAGUCAAUCAUGGGAUUGGAUUUUAGGCGCCAAGCUGGGCUUGGACUGGAGGAUUUAGGCCCGAGGCAGGGCUGACCCAGGUACAGGCUCUAUGCCCUUGAGACUAUGCUUAGGCUAGCCUGAACCUAGCCUGCCAGGCCAAUGCUCAGGUCUACCCCAAGCAUAGUACCAGCGUAGUUUAGUUUCUUUUACUAGAUAUAAAUAUGUGUUAAACUUUUAAUAGAAGAGAAAUAUAUGACGUAAAUGGGAUAAACUUCAGUGUUAAGUGACAUCCAUGGUUAUAACGGAUGAAUGAUUGAAAUUUUUUUAAUAUUUGAAAUCUAACAGAUCUCCAUGAUUAUUAAACACUGAUCAAUAUUUCAACUGCAUAUUGGCUAUAAUUUUGAUCAACAAUGUCCUAGAAAAUCAAAAAACUACAGCACAAAGAAUUGACAUUUCACAGAAAUAGUGUCAAAUAGAGCUGGUUUGAUGCCUCUGCGAAGAAAAUUAAAACACCGCCAAUUUAUCUAUCAGUCCAACCGCACAAACCUGAUGUAGGAGCCACACAACAAUUCCAGCAAAUUCUACAAUGCCAAUGUAUCUGUCAAUCCAACUGGCAUCUUCUGGUGCAUCCACAUUCCUCACAGGUGCACUCAAGAUCUUGUGUUUGGAUAGAAUUUCGACAGUAUCAGCCAAGCUGGAGUCUGAAGGUAUCUCAAUUACUGGACAGAAGAUACCAAAAAAAAAUGUCAUGGUGGCCAUUUUAAAUUUUUAAGAAACUCGAGGAGCACAAGAACAUAGAAAAAAUGCAUAACUGGAAGAGCAUAUUGCAAAACAUAUUAAGGCGCCAAAAAUACCAUCAGUUUUGCUACCUAUUGUAGGAUUACUGCAGAAAAGAUAAAGAUUCAGACUCAGAUGCCAUGUUAAAAGUCGGAAAGGUAGUCAGAGGUUGGCCUAUAAGAAUUAGGAAAAAAGUAUCAGUCAUGUUCCAAAUGAAUCUAUUCAUCAAUAUAAUAAAUGUGGCCUCAACAUAUCUAGGUUUCCAUAUGCUUUGUUGGAUUCAUACUGCAUUUUAAACUCGGGGUAGGAGUACAAUGAUCCAUCUAUCAUAAAGUACUUAUCAAUUAGCAUAGAAAAUUCAUGGACAUGGGUGUGCUGGUUGGUACCCCUUCACUCAACACAAUUCACUAGGAAGUGGUUCCAAGUUCCAACAUAGAAGGUGGCAACCAUUUAUAUUUCUCUAAAAAAGGAAAACAAUCAUAGCAUAUUUGUAACGGUGCUAUUCAAAAGGAAGCCCUUUUCUUCCCCUUUACAAGUCUUUUAGGGGUAUUUGCAUAUAGACCCCUCUAAAUAUAGUUUAUUACAUAUUCAUCCUUCUAUGAGCACUAUUUGCAAUACAUGCCUUCACAUUGUCCUGUUUUUGCAGUCAUCCCUCUUGUUAAAUUUCUGCUGCCAGUACCAACAAGUAACCAUUUUUAAGUGUAAAAUGAUCCCAUUACUCUUCUGCAUUAAUAUUCCUGAAAUUUUUCAACAUUCAGUUUUCUAAAAGAGAGCAAUAUUUUUUUUGAACAAGUUUUUUAGGAGUAUUGAUGCAAAAGCAUAAAGAGUCAUUUUUUACUUUGUGAAUGACCAGGGCCACAUAGAUCAGCAGCUUAUGCACCAGAGUUUGUAUGAAAUGGAUAAUCAAGAAGAUUUAGCUCAUGGACAACAGCUUCAUAUUUUAUAAUUUGUUUGGUUAUUUAUGGGAAACAAUUUAUGAAUUGCAGCUUUCUUGACUCAUAACUAAGAUGGUAGUUGACAAGUUAUCUAAUAUGAUAGAGAUCAAUAUUCGCUAAACCAAUGUGUACUGCUCCAUAUUGGCGCAUACCAAACUGUACUGAUAUCGAACAAAGAAUUGGUAUGGGAGAAGGGAGUCGUCCCAAGUCUGAGUAUACCCAACUGACACGUGUACCAGUGCAUCGAUACCAUACCAGCAUGGAAGCGAUACAGGUUCCGAUAUCGAGAUUGCGAACCUUCAUCAGAUCAUAUGUUUUGUCGGAAGAUCUACUUUGCAGGUUAAAGAUGUGAAGAUGUAUUAUAACAAGAUGCUGCUAGGUCUCAUAUACGUCAAGGGUAGAAGUUUGCAAAUUUUGUUUCUAGUAUCUUACUAUGGUGUUUGUCCACUAAUUUCUUAAGGUUUCUUUCUCGAUUUCUUGUGUAAUACGUUGAUUUCUUUUAAAAGAAAAAGUAAAGCCGACCAGAACUAGAGACCUGGGACGAGGAAUGCUAUAGAUUUCUCACCAUGUCCCCUCCCUCUCAUCAUGUAACGCCUGUCGACCCUUUGCCUCUCCUUCUCUUAAAGCAUAUGUACACGCCUUCCUCUCUUGCAAUCUCUCUUGAGACCGAUCCAAUUUAACUUGAGACUCUACCCAGUCUAACCUUAAACCUCUCACACUGCCCUCUCUUUCUCUCUUCCUUUCACUCGCACAUCCCCUCUUACAUAUCUCUUUCUUCCCCUCUCUCUCACCUCUAUCUCAAGCCUCUCUUUCUUCCAUCUCUCUAUUCCUUCUCUAUCUCUCCCACCACUCUCCAUUCUAUCUCACAUAUCCCUCGUGUUUCUUCCCCUUUUCCCUGGCUUGAGUUUUGAAGUAGGCCCUAAUGCACAUGUUAUAGCGAGAGAAGCGCAAGGAACAAGAAAAGGAAAAGUAAAAAAGAACUUCAUGAAAAUUCUACUGAUUAGUCAAAACAAAUCUGCUUCAAAUUAAACCAUAGGCUGCCCUAUAUAUAAGAGCCUUGCAGCAUCCUAAAAAUAGGAAACUCAAUCCAAAAAUAAAAGGAAACACAUUAAAAUAUUCAACUAGAAAAUAUAAAAAAAUGGAGAAAAUUGGCUCUAAUGGAAAAUCCCCAGGAGUUUUGACCAACUCCUUGAAUCCUGUUUGCUCGCAUGCCCACUCAUUGGGGAAAAAAGAAUAAAUCAUAUAUUGAAUUGUUGGGGUCUUAUUAUGAAGCUGUUGGCUCCUACAAGUUUGGCAUAGUCCAGCUGAUCAUAAUACCUGCCAAUUGUAUCUUGCCCUGCAUCAGAUUCAGAUUGGGAACCUUUAGUGUGUGAGACUUUUGUGAUAACCCCGACAUCACUCCCUAUCUCUAUUUGAUUUCUCUAGAGUACUUGUUCUUGAUAGGGGAUCAUACCAUGGCGAGGAGAAGUUGAGCCAGUGCUUCAAUUCUUAACAAGAAAUCGAGAUUAAGAUAUCACUAACCCUAAUCCCAUUCGAUUAUGAUUCAAUAUCAUAAUUUUGGACAAAGAUCUAGGAACCCUAGAGUUAGAAGACGUAAUAUAUCAUAGUAGGCACAUAAUUAAUCUAUUAUUUUUAGAAAUUAAAAAUCAUAUUAAUCUAUUUCUUUUGGGACAAUUUUCUGCAGUAACUAUUUACCUUCUGUGCGAUAUAAUUUCUCCAGAAUUUAUUUUCAGCAAAAAAAACAGUUUUAAAUUUCUGUAAAAUAAUUUUAUGGUUAUCCAUGUUCGGGUUUCAAAAUUAUGAUUAUCAGAUAUGAAAUUAUAUUUUUAUAACCAAAUUUCUGCAAAAUAGAAAAGUCUGCACAUUAACUUUUCUACAAUAAAAUUACAAAAUUAAAUUUCUGAUUAUUAAAUUCUAUAUGCUAUAUUCUACUAAUUAAUUUUUGCAAAUAAAAUCUUGCACAACAAAUUCUGAAUUAGGUAUACAAUAUUUUCUGAAAUUUAAAAUCUAGAAAACUGAGUUUUGCUGAUUUAAAUAUUCUAUUUAUGCUAACUAAUUUCUGAAGAAUGAAAUUCUGCAUACUAAAUUCUGACUUUUGUAAUUCAAUUUCUGCAUACCAUAACUACUCAAAUUUUUGUGGAAUAACAUUUGAAACAUAAAAUUCUGUACAGUUAAGAGACAGCAAAUUGAAAUCUAGUGGGGCCUGUAGCUAGGCACUGCUUAGGUCUCAAAAAUUCUUCUAGGUUCUCAGAAAUAGACUUAACAAAAUUAAUAAGAACUUGAGGAUUUUAGAAAUCAUUCCUAUCUAGCAGAGAAGAAAUAUCUUGAUAGUUUUGUAUUGUAGUUUAUUUGGUUCUGGAAGGACGAUUCCGAGUAAUUGGACUUGUUUGUAUUUGUGCUCUCAAGGCAAGUACCUUUCUACAUUUACUAGAAUUUUCAUGUAAUUUUCUCCUAAAAAAUGGAAUUUUCCAUGAAAAAUGUUUAUGAUAAAUAAACUAUAACUACUAAAACUACAAAAUUCAUUUUACAAGAGAAUCUUUUGAACUGGAAUUCAUGAUUAUUGUGGAUGAAAUACAUCUCUUGAAAUUAACAGCAUGGCUUCUAGUCAUCAUUCUCAUUAAAUUUAUAUGCACAUACGUAAACUGGAUCAAGCUUGGAAACUAAAAAAAAUUAUUAAAUUCAUUCUUAAUGCAUUGUGAUAAAAUAUGUACCGAAAAGUGGAAAGCUUUUGUAAAGUUAAUGAAAUGUCAUUUACGUGGAAAUUACAAAAUGAAAAUGGAUUUGGAAUUCUAUUUCAUGAUUUGGUGUUAGAAAUUAUAUUUGGUAUUAGACACCCAUUUAGUCUGACUAUUAACUGGACCCCAUCAAUGAGGGUUAAUCAUCGGCAACCUGAUUAUCAUAAGACUAGUUUCAUUCUGGACCUACACCACAAGGGUUAAAUAUGGUUUUGCACCUACACUACAGGGGUUAAAUAUGGUCCUAGACCUACACCAUAGGGGUUACAAGUGGUUCUAAGCCUUAUCACAAGGAUAAGUGUGGCCAUAGUCAUAAAGACUAAGAGAGAGUUGAUGAUUUGUAAGAAUGCAAUGUUGGAAAGCUCAUUAAUUAGUUUCGUAAGAUUUAAUUUUGGAAAAACUCAUUGGUUGUGGCCAUUAUGAUUUUAAAGAUUGUAUUUUUGGAGAACUCAUUUGUUAGGUUUUGCAUGAUUUGAAGAUUGCAUUAUUUUAAAACUCUUUGCUUCACAUAAUGAUGGUUUUAUUACUAUCUAUUUAUUCUAUAUCUUUUACAAAAAUAUGGAUUGUUAAAUAUUUAAAAUUAUUGAUUAUUUUCAAAAGCGGAUUGUAACUGCUCAAUGGUAUGCAAAUGUGAUUAUAAUGCAGUUUGAGGAAUUAGUGUCUAAUUACUAGUUUUUCAUCCAUACAUGAUCUAACUAGUUAAGGUAAGUUGUUAUUUACUAUGUCCUCGAGCACAUUUCUUUGUUUUUCCCACUUUUAUAGAUCUAGAGGGUUGUGCCUAGCAAGGUAUGAUUUUGAGAGAGUGUUUAGAUGCAAGGCCUUGUAUCUGGUGUGGACUGAACUUAUAGUUUACUUAUUGAAACCUAUUGAGGAUACCUAUUGAGGUAUUUUUUUUUUUUUUUUUUUGUUAGUCAUGCUGAAUAGUUGAGAACUGUCUUGAGUUAAAAACUUUAUGAUUAAUUUCUUUGUGAGUUAUAGAUGGAUUUUGGACAUGUUAAUUUAUUAUUUUUGGAGAAUGUAAUUUGUUUUGACAUUGUACUGCUGCUUGUUUAUGAGCUCAUUUGGUUAUAGUAUGUCUGAUAAAUGCCUUGCAUGCUUGUAGGGCUUUGUCCUAUGAGCAUACAGCGGUUGCCAUGUCUCCAACCUGGGAUCUCGAGUCAGGACCAUGAUAACUUAUGAAAUAGCUAUGGAUUUUUCUCAUAUUUUUACCAAUCAACAUUAAACAGAACAUACAUCUGCUUAAUGUUCCAGGGACCAUUAUGUCUACUCAUGAUUAAAGGCUUCUUACACUUCAAAGACUAAAUAUCGGCAACAUAGAAAGAAUAUCUAUCAUUCCAACAGUUAGCCAUGAAAUAGCAAAUCAUAAUUUAGGUGAUUUGAUUUUUAGCCUUGUUGAAGACUUGAUGUGCAACAGAAACCAUGCUGCAUGAGAAAUUCACCUCUACAGACAAAUUCUUGAACAUGAAAAUAUUGCACGAUUCCAAACCCUUAGCUCUUGCAUAUAGAAGGUUCCUUUUUUAAAUAGUAACCCUUUAGUAUAUAAUCCCAAUAUGCUAUCAUUUCUACACCUUCAUAUGUCCUUCCUCUUUCUCCAGCUUAUUCCAUCAAACGGGAAAAGAUGACCAAACUUUCAAGCAAAUUCCUGCCAAACAUUAGGAAAUCUCAUAAAUUUCUUUUAUCAUUGGCUUCAUUUAUUUUUCCAUUAUUUCUACAUCAACAUGCAAUUUAUUUCACUUUGGUUUUGGGCUUCUAGAAGUUAUUCUGACUUAGAUAAAUUACUUUUCACCGUUCCUAUAAUGGUGUUGAAUUCACACACAAACAUAUGAGCAAAUAAACUGAAAAUCCAGAAAGUGAAACCUGAUCUUCAAUAUCUAAAUGCCAAGAAAUUAAAAAUCAAUUACUCUUGUGAUUUCCUACAUCAACAUCAAGCAGUCCCAAUAUGGCAGUUUUAACAUCAUGACGAUGUUCUAAUUUGUUCUAUAAUUUAAGAGCAACAAAAUGUGUAGAUCUUGAUCAACAACAUGGAUUCUCAAUCUCCAUAGCCUACAAUCUAUAUCGGCAUAGUAGCCCCAUUGGUACAAUCCAUUUUCUGCCCAACUAAUGCAUAGAUAAAAGACCCGCAAAGCGCACCAUUUUUGGUUCAUGGCAAGGUCUGCGGAACCGUCCCAAACCGCCCGGUUCGAGGCAUCCCUGGCCGUACCAGUGGCCGAUCGGGGCAGUUCCGGCAUUGAAACCGAGACGUCAUCGCCAGAGGGAGAGAAAGAGAAGAAAAUAGAGGAAGAGAGAGAGAGAGAGAGGAGAAGAGAGAGAGAGAGANNNNNNNNNNNNNNNNNNNNAUGUAGGAGCCACACAACAAUUCCAGCAAAUUCUACAAUGCCAAUGUAUCUGUCAAUCCAACUGGCAUCUUCUGGUGCAUCCACAUUCCUCACAGGUGCACUCAAGAUCUUGUGUUUGGAUAGAAUUUCGACAGUAUCAGCCAAGCUGGAGUCUGAAGGUAUCUCAAUU